AGAGUUUGAUCAUGGCUCAGGAUGAACGCUAGCGGCAGGCUUAACACAUGCAAGUCGAGGGGUAUAGUUCUUCGGAAUUAGAGACCGGCGCACGGGUGCGUAACGCGUAUGCAAUCUACCUUUUACAGAGGGAUAGCCCAGAGAAAUUUGGAUUAAUACCUCAUAGUAUAGCAGUUUCGCAUGAAACCACUAUUAAAGUCACAACGGUAAAAGAUGAGCAUGCGUCCCAUUAGCUAGUUGGUAAGGUAACGGCUUACCAAGGCUACGAUGGGUAGGGGUCCUGAGAGGGAGAUCCCCCACACUGGUACUGAGACACGGACCAGACUCCUACGGGAGGCAGCAGUGAGGAAUAUUGGUCAAUGGACGCAAGUCUGAACCAGCCAUGCCGCGUGCAGGAUGACGGUCCUAUGGAUUGUAAACUGCUUUUGUACGAGAAGAAACAACAUUACGUGUAAUGUCUUGACGGUAUCGUAAGAAUAAGGAUCGGCUAACUCCGUGCCAGCAGCCGCGGUAAUACGGAGGAUCCAAGCGUUAUCCGGAAUCAUUGGGUUUAAAGGGUCCGUAGGCGGUUUAGUAAGUCAGUGGUGAAAGCCCAUCGCUCAACGGUGGAACGGCCAUUGAUACUGCUAGACUUGAAUUAUUAGGAAGUAACUAGAAUAUGUAGUGUAGCGGUGAAAUGCUUAGAGAUUACAUGGAAUACCAAUUGCGAAGGCAGGUUACUACUAAUUGAUGGACGCUGAUGGACGAAAGCGUGGGUAGCGAACAGGAUUAGAUACCCUGGUAGUCCACGCCGUAAACGAUGGAUACUAGCUGUUGGGGGCA
rnacentral:rRNA from 1 species